rnacentral:rRNA from 1 species
GACAGAGGGUGCAAACGUUGUUCGGAAUUACUGGGCAUAAAGCGCACGUAGGUGGUCCGCUAAGUCGCGUGUGAAAUCCCCCGGCUCAACCGGGGAAUUGCGGGCGAUACUGGCGGGCUAGAGAUCGGGAGGGGUGAGUGGAACUCCAGGUGGAGCGGUGAAAUGCGUAGAUAUCUGGAGGAACACCGGUGGCGAAAGCGACUCACUGGCCCGACACUGACACUGAGGUGCGAAAGCUAGGGUAGCAAACGGG